AUGCUUACCUGGACGGGGUCGAUCGGUGAUCAGUGAGGCCGAUGGCCUAGAGCAACUGCAUCCAUUGCACUUUGGAGGAGAGUUAUUCUCCCCAAGUGGGAGAGUGGGCGUCAUUAUUUGUGGUAGCGGGGGAACGCGUUCGCACGGCCCCCA